GCUAUCUUGUCGGAGUGCCUAGCGCGUUUCCGUUUGUUGUUUCUUUUCAACAAGCAAUGAAAAUGCACGGGCUGAGACCGUUAAUUCGGGAUCCGCGGAACCUGAUCGGGUUAAUACCUGCGAAGGGAACAAGAGUAAUAUGCCU
rnacentral:ncRNA from 1 species